GGGUCAGUAGGUUGGUCGUGCCACCGGUACGUACUGGUCUCACUUAUUCCUCCUUCCUGAAGAGCCGUAAUGCCAUUAAUUUGGUGUUGCGGGGAAACAGGACUGUUACUUUGAAAAAAUUAGAGUGUUUAAAGCAAGCUAACGCUUGAAUACAUUAGCAUGGAAUAAUGAAAUAGGACGAUCGAUCCUAUUUUGUUGGUUUCUAGGAUUGACGUA
rnacentral:rRNA from 1 species